CUAUUUUGGUCUUCAGUUAUUUUCGUUUCAAUGAGAAAAUUGAGUAGGCUAUUUGAUGAUUCAUUCGUUUGCAACAUCCAUGGCCUGAAACCAAUCAGGUUUGUCUCAUCUGCAAAGCGUGUGCUAGUGUCCAUCUAUCUAUGAGCUGUCUUUUCUCACCCUCCAUUUGAGUAUAUAUACUCCCUGGCUUCCAGAUACAGACAACUUCUAAACCAACCACUGGUUUUGCCUGAAUUUUAAAAAAUGCUUUGAUUUUAUCUACGUGAUCUCAGAUUAGAAUCGUUUGGAUUCUCAACUUUCAUUUACAUGUCUUAUUACUUCAAAAUAGAGAACUGAAUUAUCCACAGAGAUGGUGCCUUGCACAUCCAAACGGUGGCUUGUUCAGUACAUUCCUUAGGUAGUUUUCACAUUUCUUUGAAGUAUUUGGGGGCAGAGAUGGGAAAGGAGGUUGAUUACCGGUGUGGAAUGGUUAAUUCCUGUGCCAUGACAAUUUAUGAACUUGUGAUCUACCAUAAAUACCUGGAAGUGGACAUCACUCUAUCCAGAAACAUGAAAAUACAGACUUUCUAAGACAUCCUCAAGUACACCUGGAUUCCUUUCAUCAACAACUUCUAAGAGAUUUGAUCUGGGAGCACCAGGAAGAAAGGACUUUGCCAUGGAUAUUUUGAGAAGCCUGACCAAACUUUCCACUUAUUCACACAACUAAGAGACUGCAGUGCAGACUUAACCCAGCUCACUGGUGAAAAUCAAUUAACAAAGAAACAGACUGGUCAAAUCCUUCUAAAAAUCAAGAGAAUAUAAAAAUGGCACUCACCAAGAUGACUGUGUAGAUCCCUUUGCAAAAUAUCCUUCAUGUCUUAGUUCACUAGAAGCUUCCCUGUUCAUCUAAAAUCCAUCUGAUCUUAGAGAAUUAAUAUUAAGAGCCUGUGAACUGUGUCACUGGGAAGUGACACAUUUUGUUCUUCCCUGUACUGGUUCUAAAGAACUGAUACUGAGCUUAGAAUUGAGGGAAGAGACAACUGGCCCUCAACAAAUUCCACCACAGUGUUAACAUAUCAAAUUUAAAUCUGCAGUGUGGGAUAGAUCUCCAAUAUACAGCUAAACCACUCUUGUUAAUAUUAAAAAUAUUCUACUUACUUGCUUCUCUGUACUCUUCUAUUUAAUACAAAUCGGUGUUUUCACCAUUUCAUGGGCUGAGAGUUUACAAAGUUAAAUUUGUUAACUAGCCCAUUAUUAUUUUGUUGAUGAGUUAUUCUUCUAUUGCUAUUACUAUAUUAUCCUAGAUACAGAAGCUUCCAACCAGAGGAAAAAUAAAUGUCAAAUUUAUUUUCUCGGACUUAAAUUUUAAGUCUAAAAGUCAACUUAGUUAUAAAGGCUUAUUAUUCCUAUAAUUUUGUAUGCUUUUGUUUUUUUAUUAACUAAUUAUACUAUCUUGCUACAAAGAUGUCUUUAGAGAAGUGGUGUUGCCCUGAUUGUAAGGAGCCAUGUCUCCCCACUCUGGCUCUGGGACAUUGGUUACAACAGACUAGACUUGUUCAAAAUGAUUAUUCUGAAACUGACCAAGAUCGAAUGUUUAGAGCUAGUUUUUGCCCUCAGUGUCACCACACAAUUAAAGGCCUUACUCAGCCUCCUUUUCCAAUAGAAUGGGCUCCUUCAAAUUUUACCAGAUGGACACAGGAGAAGGCCUUCCAUCCCAUUCGCCAAGGCCCUCCACUGGUUAGAAAAAAAGUAUAUCAAUCCAAACUGGUUGCAUUUAAUGCUCCAUUACAUUUUAUUUUGUCUAGGACCAGUAAAGUCCUAGACCAGAGGCUUGGUGGUUAUAUUGAAAUGGCAUCUGAAAGACAAAUAAAUUUAACCACUUCUUCAGGUCCUUUAUUGGAUGAUUCUAAUCCUGAGGGGUUUCUUUUAGAGGAUGCAGAUUUAAACUUGUUGAGCGAUGACUUUAUUCCUGAGGAGCUUUUCAUGGAUAAUCCAGACUACUUUUAACUAGCUCUCUUCUCCCAUUCAGUUAGUUCUAAUUAAGAUCAUUGUUACAUCUAUAAUCAUUAGUCUGAUGUUAUAUUGCAAAGUUAAAAAUGUAAUCUCUAGACCUGUAUUUAAAAGGUACCAUCAUAGUGCUAGCUUAAGUAAUUAUGAUUUAAUAUUGACGUAAAGUGUAGAGAACACUAUACUUUUAUCACUUACUGUAGGUUUGUUCUUAGAGCUUUCAAAAAUGUUUUAAAUAAGUAUAAUUUUCUCUGAGUUAUUUCAGGGCUAAUAUCUGACUUGUGUACAUUGCCUUCAUAAAACUGUCUAUAAACUUAUGUGAAACUUACAUCACUUGAAUAUAAUUUAAUAAUUCCUAUGUGCUUCUUAUAUUUCUGAGGAUUAUUCCCUUAGUAUUAAGUAUAACAGUGUAGAAUGGGGUAAUUUAACUCUACUAAAAACCUCAGCCAAAUACAAUGGCUUAAAAUAAAUAUGUAUAUACAGUUGCUUAGUUGUAUAAGAAUUGUCUUCUACAGUUUCUAUGUUCAAACCACAUAAGAUGACCAAAGCACAUCACAAAUGUUACAGUUGUGGUAAGGUUAUAGGGAAGUGGGGGGGGGUGAUUUGUAUGUAUGAGUGGAUUCCAAAAUAUAAACAGUAAUAACACACCUCUGACCCUUAUGGAUAUGUAGAAGUUUGCUUUGUUUGUUUUCUUCAGACUACUUUUAGAAGACAAGAAGAAAGAUACUUCCCCAUUUCUGUCUUAAUGGAAUUGCUUUCAAUAACUCAACUAUUUAGAUAUGAUUUUCCAGAAAGUGGCUUCAGAAUUCUAUUUUAGACCCUAUGGGAGAAAUUUCUUGUAAUCAUCAGAAGUGUCAAUACUUUCUGUAAGAGCUCGCUGACACAUAAUAAUAUCUGAAGUGCUUAAAUUUAAGAUUGUGUCUAAUCAUGUUGUUUCAAAGCUUUCCUCUUCUUUGCUUUCAAAGUUAUUCUUGCCUAUGAAUUAAAAAAUAUGCUUACAGAUAAAUUA